rnacentral:rRNA from 1 species
UACGGAGGGAGCUAGCGUUAUUCGGAAUUACUGGGCGUAAAGCGUACGUAGGCGGCUUUGCAAGUUAGAGGUGAAAGCCUGGAGCUCAACUCCAGAACUGCCUUUAAAACUGCAUCGCUUGAAUCCAGGAGAGGUGAGUGGAAUUCCGAGUGUAGAGGUGAAAUUCGUAGAUAUUCGGAAGAACACCAGUGGCGAAGGCGGCUCACUGGACUGGUAUUGACGCUGAGGUACGGAAAGCGUGGGGAGCAAACAGG